AUGGUGGCCCUGAACCACUCAGGCCUCUCUGGUUUCCAAGUCCUGAUCAGCAUAGUGGGGACACUCACCGGCCCGGACUGCCUGCCGCACACCUCCAGGGGGCGAGAGUGCUGUUACACCCUGGAGAUGGGCUCCAGGGGGAGCUGCAUAUACAGACUGCCAGUGCACAGCUGCCAGUCCAGCCAAGUCGAUGAAACCAGGGACCACGUGGGCAGCGAGUACCAGCAGUUCACCUUCAUGUUCUGUCCAGCCCUGCCCCCUCCUGUCCUGCCCCCACCAAGCCCAGGCCCCCUCUCCUUGGACAUACUUCCACCCUUCCACCUGUCCUCUACAGCCAGCGAGGACCCACACGAUGCCAAGUUCCGCUCCCAUGAAUGCGUACCAGUGAGCACUUCGUCCCUCUUUACAGCUGACAAGUCCUUGCUUUUCCUCGAGGUCUCCCUAGGUCUUCCUCCAGCCCCUGCUUACUCUCUCUUUCACCCUUCACCAUCCAGCCGCUCCUCCUCCAGUUCCUCCUCCUCUCCCAGCUCCUCCUCCUCUCCCAGCCCCUCACCAUCUAGCCCCUCCUCCUCCAGCUCCUCCUCCUCCUCCAGCUCCUCUUCUCCUAGCUCCUCCUCUCCCAGUCCCUCACCAUCCAGCCCCUUUUCCUCUGGCUCCUCCUCCUAUCCCAGCCCCUCACCAUCCAGCCCCCUCUCCUCUGGCUCCUCCUCUUCCUGCUCCUCCUUCCCCAACUCCUCCUACUUCAACCCCUCCUCCUCCUCGCUCAGACCCUCACCAUCCAGCCCCUCCUCCUCCAGCCCCUCCUUCUCCUCGUCCAGCUCCCACUCGGGCCUCAAGGAGCGAGCUCCAGGCUCGGCCUCACGGAGCGAUCGAUGGCUCGGGCUCGUCGCACCCGCCUGCCCGGCCUCUGCGCUCGGCUCGCCAGGCCUGCGGCGCUGCCAUGGGGACACUGCCCGCGGCCCAAGGCCCCGCCUCGGGAGCUUCCCGAGGGGCCUCCCGGGAGCUGGAUGCUCGGAGCAGAAAGGCGGCCCUGGCGGCCCCAGCGGGUCCCGGGGCUGGCGCCUGGCGGCGUUUCCGGGGGUUCGCGCCCUUUCAAGCGCUGCUGUCCCCUGUUUCACAGAUGGAGACUCUGAAGCUCCAACAAGCAGCCUCCCCAGCACCGCCCAGGGACUGAAAGCUGGCACUGCGCUCCCGUCUCACUCCGCGCCCAACUCCCAGGCUGCGCCACGGCUUCAGCACCACUUGGGAAAGACGAGACCUGAAGAGACUGUGGGGCCUGAUCCCCCAGGGUGGGUCGGAACAGCCGCCGCCCCGAACGCCGGCCCGGACAGAUACGUGCAGGGCAUGCCGCUGGAGCUCCUUCCACCUUCCAUCUGGGGCCACCAUGCCCCUUCCUCAGCGUGCUGGAUCCAUUUCUUCAAGCUCAGUGGUCCAGGCCAUGGUGGCAGAAUCACCCCCCAGUGUGUGACGCCUUGCCCCUGUCACUUCCACACAGCUGCACCUGGAAGAGCUGUGGCCAGGCACCGCUCUGAUCUGCCUGCUGUCCCCUGAAUGGGCCUCAGGUGUCUUCAAAAUGGCGAGGCCACCUCAAGUUUCUUCACCACACAACCCUCCUGAAGACACUGCCUGCAAAUGGGCUGAAUUCCUAAUUUCUACCAUUCAGUUAAACAAGGGAUCCUUAAACCCCAAAGCUCGGAAAGCUCUCCGUUAAUUUAGUGUGCAGCGUGUGGCAGCUGUCCACGCGUGGCCCGUCUCAGAACAGCAGGUUCCCAGGAGUCCAGCAGGACAGGUGAGGGGAUGAGUGGCCGCGCCCCCCUAGCGGAGAAGGCCUUGUCUGAAGGCUACGCCCGCCUCCGGUACAGGGACACCGCCGUGCUCAUCUGGCAGCAGCAGCAGCAGAAGUUGGAGUCGGUGCCGCCCGGGACAUACCUGAGCAGGAGCCGGAGCAUGUGGUACUCACAGUAUGGAAAUGAGGCCAUCUUGGUCCGAGACAAAAACAAGCUCGAGGUCUCUAGGGACACAGGGCAGUCCAAGUUUUGCACAAUUAUGUGAUUCCGGUGAAAACUUGGGCCCAGGACCGCACUUUGAAGAAAACAGGCUUGGGAUUAAUUCAGGUGUCUUGCUGAUAAUCCUUGCUGGAAGGUUUUGAAUAAUGAAUGUGAAGAUCAAACUGUGGUGUAGGAACUCAAGCCCAGCGUCGGCUCCCGAGCCCCAGCAACGGUGUGACUGGUGCACAGGACACUUCACCUGUAGAGUCCCCUCGUGGUCAGCUGUUGUAACAUUUGAAUCCUCCAGGUGCUGCUAGGGACAGCAUAGGCCUGGGCACUGCUAGAUGCUUGGUUUAAACCAAGCCAAGAGUGACCCUCCCAUCCCCACUGCAAACCACCUCUUCAAGUUUGUAAAGGUUUUGGUUUUCUUCUGUUUUUGGCACACAUGGCGAGUAGCAGCAUUAUCUCACUGGGACCUUUGUCGCACUUACAUUUUGUUUUUUGCUUUUUUGAGACAGGGUCUCACUCUGUUGUCCAGGCUGGAAUGCAGUGACACCAUCGCAGCUCACUGCAGCCUCCCAGGCAGCUGUGGCUACAGGCGAACUAGUGUUUAUAGAGAUAGGGUUUCCCUGUGUUGCCCAGGCUGGUCUUGCAGUCAUGGGCUCAGGCCUCCCAAAGUGCUGGGAUUACAGGCACCGGCCACUGCACCAAGCCUGACUUGUAUUUUGAGUCACCAAAACAAUCGUCACGUGUGAAGCAUCAUGGUAGCUUCCAAGCAUUUGAGGCCCACUGGCAGUGCAUCCAAAACACAGGAAACUGGAGAGUUGUAAGUUGCACAUGUGUGGCCUACAGUGAUCUCCAGUGUAGGCUGAGCAGGGCAGGCUGUCCAUCAGGCUUAAAGUAUUCAGCCUCUGUGCCUCCAGGUGACUGCUCCCCUCCAUUCAGUGUUUGUCAUGUGUUCACUGUUGCUGCCACAGCUGUGCGUGCAGUCUCCAUGAAGGCCUUGCCCUCUGCCCUCACUGACAUCUGCUCGGCUACACAAAUGGUGUCUUCUGUCAAAGCUAAUUUUUUUCCAAAUAAACAUCCUUUAGUACACA